UUGUUUGGAGAGUUUGAUCCUGGCUCAGGACGAACGCUGGCGGCGUGCUUAACACAUGCAAGUCGAGCGGAAAGGCCCUUCGGGGUACUCGAGCGGCGAACGGGUGAGUAACACGUGAGUAACCUGCCCCUGACUUCGGGAUAAGCCUGGG
rnacentral:rRNA from 1 species